GUCGAGAAUUUUGGGCAAUGGACGAAAGUCUGACCCAGCAAUGCCGCGUGCGGGAUGAAGGUCUUCGGAUUGUAAACCGCUGUCGGGGGACGAAAUAUGACGGUACCCCUGGAGGAAGCCACGGCUAACUACGUGCCAGCAGCCGCGGUAAUACGUAGGUGGCGAGCGUUGUUCGGAUUUAUUGGGCGUAAAGGGUCCGCAGGGGGUUGAUUAAGUCUGACGUGAAAUCUCUGAGCUCAACUCAGAAAUUGCGUUGGAGACUGGUUGACUAGAGUGUUGGAGAGGUAAUUGGAAUUCCAGGUGUAGCGGUGGAAUGCGUAGAUAUCUGGAAGAACAUCGAAAGCGAAGGCAGAUUACUGGACAACAACUGACCCUCAGGGACGAAAGCAUGGGGAGCAAACAGGAUUAGAAACCCUUGUAGUCC
rnacentral:rRNA from 1 species